UACGUAGGGUGCAAGCGUUAAUCGGAAUUACUGGGCGUAAAGCGUGCGCAGGCGGUUUUGUAAGUCUGUCGUGAAAUCCUCGGGCUCAACCUGAGAAUUGCGAUGGAGACUGCAAGGCUAGAAUCUGGCAGAGGGGGGUAGAAUUCCACGUGUAGCAGUGAAAUGCGUAGAGAUGUGGAGGAACACCGAUGGCGAAGGCAGCCCCCUGGGUCAAGAUUGACGCUCAUGCACGAA
rnacentral:rRNA from 1 species